UUAAGCGACUAAGCGUACACGGUGGAUGCCCUGGCAGUCAGAGGCGAUGAAGGACGUGCUAAUCUGCGAAAAGCGUCGGUAAGGUGAUAUGAACCGUUACAGCCGGCGAUGUCCGAAUGGGGAAACCCAGUGCAAUUCGUUGCACUAUCGUUAACUGAAUACAUAGGUUAACGAGGCGAACCGGGGGAACUGAAACAUCUAAGUACCCCGAGGAAAAGAAAUCAACCGAGAUUCCCCCAGUAGCGGCGAGCGAACGGGGAGCAGCCCAGAGUCUGAAUCAGCUUGUGUGUUAGUGGAACGGUCUGGAAAGUCCGACGGUACAGGGUGAUAGUCCCGUACACCAAAAUGCACAGGCUGUGAACUCGAAGAGUAGGGCGGGACACGUGGUAUCCUGUCUGAAUAUGGGGGGACCAUCCUCCAAGGCUAAAUACUCCUGACUGACCGAUAGUGAACCAGUACCGUGAGGGAAAGGCGAAAAGAACCCCGGCGAGGGGAGUGAAAAAGAACCUGAAACCGUGUACGUACAAGCAGUGGGAGCACCUUCGGGUGUGACUGCGUACCUUUUGUAUAAUGGGUCAGCGACUUAUAUUCUGUAGCAAGGUUAACCGUAUAGGGGAGCCGCAGGGAAACCGAGUCUUAACUGGGCGUUAAGUUGCAGGGUAUAGACCCGAAACCCGGUGAUCUAGCCAUGGGCAGGUUGAAGGUUGGGUAACACUAACUGGAGGACCGAACCGACUAAUGUUGAAAAAUUAGCGGAUGACUUGUGGCUGGGGGUGAAAGGCCAAUCAAACCGGGAGAUAGCUGGUUCUCCCCGAAAGCUAUUUAGGUAGCGCCUCGUGAACUCAUCUUCGGGGGUAGAGCACUGUUUCGGCUAGGGGGUCAUCCCGACUUACCAACCCGAUGCAAACUACGAAUACCGAAGAAUGUUAUCACGGGAGACACACGGCGGGUGCUAACGUCCGUCGUGAAGAGGGAAACAACCCAGACCGCCAGCUAAGGUCCCAAAGUCAUGGUUAAGUGGGAAACGAUGUGGGAAGGCACAGACAGCCAGGAUGUUGGCUUAGAAGCAGCCAUCAUUUAAAGAAAGCGUAAUAGCUCACUGGUCGAGUCGGCCUGCGCGGAAGAUGUAACGGGGCUAAACCAUGCACCGAAGCUGCGGCAGCGACACUAUGUGUUGUUGGGUAGGGGAGCGUUCUGUAAGCCUGCGAAGGUGUGCUGUGAGGCAUGCUGGAGGUAUCAGAAGUGCGAAUGCUGACAUAAGUAACGAUAAAGCGGGUGAAAAGCCCGCUCGCCGGAAGACCAAGGGUUCCUGUCCAACGUUAAUCGGGGCAGGGUGAGUCGACCCCUAAGGCGAGGCCGAAAGGCGUAGUCGAUGGGAAACAGGUUAAUAUUCCUGUACUUGGUGUUACUGCGAAGGGGGGACGGAGAAGGCUAUGUUAGCCGGGCGACGGUUGUCCCGGUUUAAGCAUGUAGGCUGGUUGUCCAGGCAAAUCCGGAUAAUCAAGGCUGAGGUGUGAUGACGAGGCACUACGGUGCUGAAGUAACAAAUGCCCUGCUUCCAGGAAAAGCCUCUAAGCAUCAGGUAACAUCAAAUCGUACCCCAAACCGACACAGGUGGUCAGGUAGAGAAUACCAAGGCGCUUGAGAGAACUCGGGUGAAGGAACUAGGCAAAAUGGUGCCGUAACUUCGGGAGAAGGCACGCUGGUGUGUAGGUGAAGCCCCUGCGGGUGGAGCUGAGACCAGUCGAAGAUACCAGCUGGCUGCAACUGUUUAUUAAAAACACAGCACUGUGCAAACACGAAAGUGGACGUAUACGGUGUGACGCCUGCCCGGUGCCGGAAGGUUAAUUGAUGGGGUUAUCCGUAAGGAGAAGCUCUUGAUCGAAGCCCCGGUAAACGGCGGCCGUAACUAUAACGGUCCUAAGGUAGCGAAAUUCCUUGUCGGGUAAGUUCCGACCUGCACGAAUGGCGUAAUGAUGGCCAGGCUGUCUCCACCCGAGACUCAGUGAAAUUGAACUCGCUGUGAAGAUGCAGUGUACCCGCGGCAAGACGGAAAGACCCCGUGAACCUUUACUAUAGCUUGACACUGAACAUUGAGCCUUGAUGUGUAGGAUAGGUGGGAGGCUUUGAAGCGUGGACGCCAGUCUGCGUGGAGCCAACCUUGAAAUACCACCCUUUAAUGUUUGAUGUUCUAACGUUGGCCCCUUACCGGGGUUGCGGACAGUGUCUGGUGGGUAGUUUGACUGGGGCGGUCUCCUCCCAAAGCGUAACGGAGGAGCACGAAGGUUAGCUAAUCCUGGUCGGACAUCAGGAGGUUAGUGCAAUGGCAUAAGCUAGCUUGACUGCGAGCGUGACGGCGCGAGCAGGUGCGAAAGCAGGUCAUAGUGAUCCGGUGGUUCUGAAUGGAAGGGCCAUCGCUCAACGGAUAAAAGGUACUCCGGGGAUAACAGGCUGAUACCGCCCAAGAGUUCAUAUCGACGGCGGUGUUUGGCACCUCGAUGUCGGCUCAUCACAUCCUGGGGCUGAAGUAGGUCCCAAGGGUAUGGCUGUUCGCCAUUUAAAGUGGUACGCGAGCUGGGUUUAGAACGUCGUGAGACAGUUCGGUCCCUAUCUGCCGUGGGCGCUGGAGAAUUGAGGGGGGCUGCUCCUAGUACGAGAGGACCGGAGUGGACGCAUCACUGGUGUUCGGGUUGUCAUGCCAAUGGCACUGCCCGGUAGCUAAAUGCGGAAGAGAUAAGUGCUGAAAGCAUCUAAGCACGAAACUUGCCCCGAGAUGAGUUCUCCCUGAGACUAUAAGUCUCCUGAAGGAACGUUAAAGACGAUGACGUUGAUAGGCCGGGUGUGUAAGCGCAGCGAUGCGUUGAGCUAACCGGUACUAAUGAACCGUGAGGCUUAACCUU
rnacentral:rRNA from 1 species